GACGGCAGGUGCAAGCGUUGCUCGGAAUCACUGGGCGUAAAGGGUGCGUAGGCGGCCGCGCAAGUCUGGCGUGAAAGCCCCGGGCUCAGCCCGGGAAGGGCGCUCGAAACGGCGCGGCUCGAGUGCCGGAGGGGAGAGUGGAAUUCCCGGUGUAGCGGUGAAAUGCGUAGAGAUCGGGAGGAACACCAGAGGCGAAGGCGGCGACCUGGACAGUUACUGACACUCAACUACGAAAGCGUGGGGAGCAAACAGG
rnacentral:rRNA from 1 species